CCUGGCAUCACUUUGUAAACUUUUCUAGGGAAGGGUAAGAUCCCAAACUAUGAAAAUUCCAGUUAGGGUUUUUAGAUGUUUCUACAGUUCUGGUGUGUGACAGAGAAGCUCCUUCAGUACACACGUUUGGAGUGGUCUGGAAGACGUCAUCCAUCCCUGCAGCCUAUCACAGCAAGCUACCAGCUGACAAAAAGUGGAGCCCUGGAGCCAGAGAGGAGGGUUGUACACUCACCCUGAUGAAGGAGCUUAACACACAGUGGACAAUCCCAGAGGCGAAGACUGGAGUGUUUACUCACCUGACCAGGAUGGAACAUACAUCGGAUUUGCCCCUAACUACAUCUUGCACAAAGGCUCGGCAGUGGAGUUGCUGAAGUCCCGCUUGAAGGAUCUUCAUCCCGACGGCUCCAUCUUCAUCCAGACGGCUCCAUCUUCAUCCAGGCGGCAUCUUCUAUUUUCAUCCCGGCGGCGCGGAGCGGGUCCAUCCUGAAGACAUCCGGCACAGAGCAUCCUCUUCAUACGGUCGCCGUCGUAUACUGAAUCUUCAGUGCAAGCUGGUUCUGUUUUGUCUGUAUGUUCUGAGUUCUCUUCCCAUCAAGCUUUCUUCAUUACAGAGUUCAGGUCGAGAGACAACAAUUCUGUGAUUGACUCUUUUCUUUCUGCA